UACGGAGGGUGCAAGCGUUGUUCGGAUUUAUUGGGCGUAAAGCGCGUGUAGGCGGUCUUCUAAGUCUGAUGUGAAAACUCGGGGCUUAACCCCGGGCCUGCAGUGGGUACGGGCAGACUAGAGUGCGGUAGGGGAGACUGGAAUUCCUGGUGUAGCGGUGAAAUGCGCAGAUAUCAGGAGGAACACCGGUGGCGAAGGCGGGUCUCUGGGCCGUAACUGACGCUGAGGAGCGAAAGCGUGGGGAGCGAACAGG
rnacentral:rRNA from 1 species